GCGGACCCGAGGAGUACAGAGAGGUACGGGGAGGAGUAUAUAAGCGCAGAUUCGACUUGGACUGAAAAAGUUAGUUAGAAAGUUAGAGUCAAGGAUUGGAGUUCCACUUUUGGAUGAGUUACACACGAAUUGUGGGCCAGUGAAAAAGCACAUUUGCUACCCCGUCGACCCGUAGAUUCGUUAUUGAGUCUAAGAUCAUUGCCAUUCGCAUUCCGGGUAUCUAAUUACCACGGUCACUUGUCAAAUUCUGUCAUAAUCAUAAUUGUAUUAGUAAAUAUCUUCGCUCUUGCGUGACAACAAUGUCUGAUUCAAAGAAAGAUUCGUUACACGCCCCUAACCCUAAUGACAACUCGACAUAUAUAUAUGUAGUAUCAAAAAAAGAAGAGGGUAUACGCUUGAGAGAGUGUAAGAGUGUAUGCCUUGGUGACGUCAAAGCUAAAUGAGUAAAGGACUGGGAGAAGGAUGCGAGGGUUGAGGGUCAACAUCUUUUUUGACCUGAGAAGACAGAAGUUGAGAG
rnacentral:misc_RNA from 1 species